rnacentral:snRNA from 1 species
GGCUUUGCGCAGCGGCAGUGUCGUAGCCAAUGAGGUUAUCGGAGACGCGAUUAUUGCUCAUUGAAUUCUGUGCCAUCGUCAGAAAAAUGGUUUGCCUGCUACUGAGCUGUUUAUUCCAGGGUUCUCUGCAUGAAAUCAGG